CGUCAUUUGGGGCAGACAUUAUCGAAGAAGGAGGUUUUAAUCCGACAUUUAAGAUAGAAUCGAGCGGUUUAAUAUCAUUUCCAAAUAAUUUCUGUAAUUUUGUCUCAUCAAAAGACGAACUUAUCAACAAUGUAUUUCCAAAUAUUAUUUCUAACUACAAAAAUAAUGAAUGGUUGAGUGAG